rnacentral:rRNA from 1 species
AACGAACGCUGGCGGCAGGCCUAACACAUGCAAGUCGAACGCCCGUAGCAAUACGGGAGUGGCAGACGGGUGAGUAACGCGUGGGAACGUGCCCUUCGGUUCGGAAUAACUCAGGGAAACUUGAGCUAAUACCGGAUACGUCCGUAAGGAGAAAGAUUUAUCGCCGAAGGAUCGGCCCGCGUCGGAUUAGCUAGUUGGUGAGGUAACGGCCCACCAAGGCGACGAUCCGUAGCUGGUCUGAGAGGAUGAUCAGCCACACUGGGACUGAGACACGGCCCAGACUCCUACGGGAGGCAGCAGUGGGGAAUAUUGGACAAUGGGCGAAAGCCUGAUCCAGCCAUGCCGCGUGAGUGAAGAAGGCCUUAGGGUUGUAAAGCUCUUUCAGCGGGGAAGAUAAUGACGGUACCCGCAGAAGAAGCCCCGGCUAACUUCGUGCCAGCCGCCGCCGUAA